GACGAACGCUGGCGGCGUGCUUAACACAUGCAAGUCGAACGGAGCACCCUUGAAAGAGAUUUCGGUCAAUGGAUAGGAAUGCUUAGUGGCGGACGGGGGAGUAACGCGUGAGGAACCUGCCUUUCAGAGGGGGACAACAGCUGGAAACGGCUGCUAAUACCGCAUAACACAUAGGUGUCGCAUGGCAUUUAUGUCAAAGAUUUAUCGCUGAGAGAUGGCCUCGCGUCUGAUUAGCUAGUUGGUAGGGUAACGGCCUACCAAGGCGACGAUCAGUAGCCGGACUGAGAGGUUGGCCGGCCACAUUGGGACUGAGAUACGGCCCAG
rnacentral:rRNA from 1 species